rnacentral:misc_RNA from 1 species
CACAGUCCGCUCCUCUUAAAUGCAUUAGCUGGAUUCUCGGUGAGCUCGGUUCCACUCGGCGUGAUAAGUAUCACUCGCCGAGGACACCCGUUAAAAAAGGUGGCCAGGCCCGCGGAUGAACCGCUUCCAACGGUCUAUUGAUUUAGACAAUAAAUUUACGAUCCGAUCUCAAAUCAGGUAGGACUACCCGCUGAACUUAA